rnacentral:rRNA from 1 species
GCAAGGAAUUUUGCGCAAUGGGCGAAAGCCUGACGCAGCAACGCCGCGUGGGUGAAGAAGGCCUUCGGGUCGUAAAGCCCUUUUGUUAGGGAAGAAGUUCUGACGGUACCUAAUGAAUAAGCCUCGGCUAACUACGUGCCAGCAGCCGCGGUAAUACGUAGGAGGCUAGCGUUAUCCGGAUUUAUUGGGCGUAAAGAGCGCGUAGGCGGCCUAUUAAGUCAGUUGUGAAAUCUCUUGGCUUAACCGAGAGAGGUCAACUGAAACUGGUAGGCUUGAGGGCAGCAGAGGGAGGUGGAAUUCCCGGUGUAGUGGUGAAAUGCGUAGAUAUCGGGAGGAACACCAGUGGCGAAGGCGGCCUCCUGGGCUGUUCCUGACGCUGAGGCGCGAAAGCGUGGGGAGCAAACAGGAUUAGAAACCCUUGUAGUCC